rnacentral:rRNA from 1 species
UACGGGAGGCAGCAUUGGGGAAUCUUACGGGAGGCAGCAGUGAGGAAUAUUGCACAAUGGGGGGAACCAUGAUGCAGCAACGCCGCGUGGAGGAUGACGCAUUUAGGUGUGUAAACUCCUUUAUAUGUCAAGAAAAUGACGG